rnacentral:other from 1 species
AGCGGGGAAUACCCGAAUACGGGUUGGUUGGCGUCCAUCUUAAAGACGUGAUACAAAUCGUACUUCGCGCUUCAAUCUCGUGUUGAGAAAUAGCGGGCGCGAACGCAACACACAACAUUUACUGGAUUAAAAAUGGCAACAGGUACUGUGAAGUGGUUUAACGAUGCAAAGGGCUUUGGCUUCAUCACGCCGGACGACGGCGGCGAAGACCUGUUCGCACACUUUUCGGAAGUUCAAGGCAGCGGCUUCAAGUCCCUGCAGGAAAACCAGAAGGUGUCGUUCGAAGUUAAGCAAGGCCCGAAGGGCAAGCAAGCUGCGAACAUCACGCCGGCCUAAGUACCAACAGGUAUCUUGAGGCACAUUUAGGCGUUUGCGUCUAAUGCAAAAUGGCCCGCGAAAGCGGGCCAUUUUCUU